rnacentral:rRNA from 1 species
GAUGAACGCUAGCGGCAGGCCUAACACAUGCAAGUCGAGGGAGAGGUUACCUUCGGGUAACCAAAACCGGCGCACGGGUGCGUAACGCGUAUACAAUCUGCCUUUCACAUAGGGAUAGCCUGAAGAAAUUUGGAUUAAUACCUAAUGGUAUAUAAGAGCGGCAUCGUUUUUAUAUUAAAGCUACGGUGGUGAAAGAUGAGUAUGCGUUCUAUUAGCUAGUUGGAGAGGUAACGGCUCCCCAAGGCGACGAUAGAUAGGGGUUCUGAGAGGGAUGUCCCCCACACUGGUACUGAGAUACGGACCAGACUCCUACGGGAGGCAGCAGUGAGGAAUAUUGGACAAUGGUCGGAAGACUGAUCCAGCCAUGCCGCGUGCAGGAUGAAGGUCCUAUGGAUUGUAAACUGCUUUUGUAAGGGAAGAAUAAGGAGUACGUGUACUUUGAUGACGGUACCUUACGAAUAAGCAUCGGCUAACUCCGUGCCAGCAGCCGCGGUAAUACGGAGGAUGCGAGCGUUAUCCGGAAUCAUUGGGUUUAAAGGGUCCGUAGGCGGGCUGAUAAGUCAGAGGUGAAAGCGCUUAGCUCAACUAAGCAACUGCCUUUGAAACUGUCAGUCUUGAAUGAUUGUGAAGUAGUUGGAAUGUGUAGUGUAGCGGUGAAAUGCUUAGAUAUUACACAGAACACCGAUAGCGAAGGCAUAUUACUAACAAUUUAUUGACGCUGAUGGACGAAAGCGUGGGGAGCGAACAGG